rnacentral:pre_miRNA from 2 species
CACCCCAAUUUCACGCGGCCCCCAAGGUCAUCCCGGGGUCACGUGACCUCGGGGGGUCACGUGACCUUGGGAUGACCUUGGGGGCCGCGUGAAAUUGGGG